UGCAGUCGAACGAGAAAGUUACCUUCGGGUUGACGAGUACAGUGGCGAACGGGUGAGUAACACGUGGGCAACCUGCCCCUAGGUUGGGGAUAACACUUCCAACGAGGUGCUAAUACCGAAUGAUAAGGCGAGUUGAUGACUCGUUUUUAAAGGUGGCCUCUGCUUGUAAGCUGCCGCCUAGGGAUGGGCCCGCGUCGUAUUAGCUUGUUGGUAGGGUAAUGGCCUACCAAGGCGACGAUGCGUAGCCGGCCUGAGAGGGUGAACGGCCACACUGGCACUGAGAUAAGGGCCAGUCUCCUACGGGAGCCAGCAGUCUAGAAAUUUGCACAAUCGCCGAAAGGCGGAUGCAGCGACACCACGUGGAGGAUGAAGCCCCUCGGGGUGUAAACUCCUGUCAGGAGGGAAGAAGGCGCGGGCGUUAAUACCGCUCGUUGCUUGACGGUACCUUCAGAGGAAGCUCCGGCUAACUACGUGCCAGCAGCCGCGGUAAUACGUAGGGAGCGAGCGUUGUUCGGAUUUACUGGGCGUAAAGGGCAUGUAGGCGGGUAUGCAAGUCGGUUGUGAAAUCCUCUGGCUCAACCAGAGAACUGCAGCCGAAACUGCACACCUUGAGUCCAGCAGAGGGAAUCGGAAUCCCAGGUGUAGCGGUGAAAUGCGUAGAUAUCUGGGAGAACAUCAGUGGCGAAGGCGGAUUCCUGGGCUGGUACUGACGCUGAGGUGCGAAAGCUAAGGGAGCGAACAGGAUUAGAUACCCUGGUAGUCUUAGCCGUAAACGAUGGGUACUAGGUGUUGGGGGACAUUGACCCCCUCAGUGCCGUAGCUAACGCAUUAAGUACCCCGCCUGGGGAGUACGGCCGCAAGGCUGAA
rnacentral:rRNA from 1 species